AAAACAUUUGCUGACCUCUGAGCUAGCUCACAGUUCAGGCAAGGAAAUUGAAGUCCUGAAAGUUUAACUGAUUUGUUCCAGCUCAGAUAAAUACACAAUGGUACAGUGAAAGAAUCCAAAAACGUAGGAGAGGCAUACACACCUUUUGUGGAUUAUCUGCUCAAAUCAAAUCCAAGAGGAUCAUGCAUCAAUGUCCAGACUCAUGUGGUGUCAAGACUUAAUGCUUUAUUAAAAGCAAUAAUUAUUUCAAAUGCAACAGAUGAGCAAAGGGAAGCUCCGGCUGGGCAGAGCCAGCCCAUAGCUGUGCAAUUUCAACCAGAGCAAAACGACAGACAACAUUGCCUUGAAAUGUGACUUCUGGAGACAGAGGUAGGGUAGCCCCAACUUCCCCCAAAUCAAAAUUAAUGCAAUCAGACAACGUGUGACGAUCAUAGGGACUUUCAGGGUAUUGAUGUUAUAUGUUGAUCAUCACCUCUAAAGUUCCAACCUUGAUUCUUAAAAUCUUCUAGGACACUUUCAUUUGAGUGAAAAUCUUUUUAUAAUUCAUUUUAAUUUUCAAAAGAAAUGUAAUCAGU
rnacentral:lncRNA from 1 species